rnacentral:rRNA from 1 species
UACGUAGGGUGCAAGCGUUAAUCGGAAUUACUGGGCGUAAAGCGUGCGCAGGCGGUUGUGCAAGGCCGAUGUGAAAUCCCCGGGCUUAACCUGGGAAUGGCAUUGGUGACUGCACGGCUAGAGUGUGUCAGAGGGGGGUAGAAUUCCACGUGUAGCAGUGAAAUGCGUAGAUAUGUGGAGGAAUACCGAUGGCGAAGGCAGCCCCCUGGGAUAACACUGACGCUCAUGCACGAAAGCGUGGGGAGCAAACAGG